AAGAUAGGCAACUUGCCUAAGGUCACAUGGUUGGAAAAAGGGCAGAACUGGGAUUCAAAUGCCAAAGGCAGGGUUGCUCUCCCCACAACCUCUAUGUCUUUGUCUCCCCAGGCCACACCCUUGGGGGAGCAAACCUCUGAGCCUCCAGAAGCAAGGGAUUGGCACCAACUGUAGGAAAUGUCUGCUCCGCUCCAGGGCACCUGCCCUCUGGGACUGCAGGCUGGGUGGGGGCUGCCAGUCCCCCAGGCAGGCUUGUCGGCUGCCCACUUGAAGUCUCACCAGGACUGCCAGUAGUAGACAGGACCCAAGGUGCACUGAGAGGGGCUCAGCUUCCCCCUCCCCUGAUCCAGCACUCCCAGUCUUUGUCACAAAUCAUGGUCUCUUUCCCAAGCGCUUUCCUCUUAGGAGGAGUUCUUGCCUCGGUCCUUGGCACACAGGCUCCUGGCAACUUCCUCCCUUGUUUGCUGACUCUGAAUGCUUCCGUAGGCUGUGUGGCCCACUUGGAAGGAAUAUUCAGGGGCAUGAGGUCCAGCAGCUGGUCAGGAAAUGAAGAUGCAUGCCCAGGGAGCUGGUGCAAGGGAAGAGCAGGGAGCGGACCCUGUGUGAUGAGGUGCCGGGAGUGGCCCCAGUUCUGCUGUUCCAGCUGCCCAUCCCCAGGUGCAGAUCAUAUUUUCUGCUUAGAGCAGAUUCCUUCCUGGGCAGACAUUGAGCACACAGCCAGCUGCAGUGGGCACCAGAGACAUUGCGUCCUUUCUACUCUUCAUGUCCUGAUCCCAGUGAUAAUCUUUGAGGCCCCAGUCGGUGGUUCUUUUUUUUUUUU